GGUCUGAGAUGUUCGAAAGG
rnacentral:miRNA from 1 species